UUUUCCUCUUCGCCGUUGACUCUGGCAGUUGAUAACAACACCGCGCAAACCACUUUUACCUGGCGUUGGCUAUGACAAACUGCUGUCCCUGGUAAGAGGCGUGCUCAUAGCCCACCCAGCUGGGGACAAGCAAGAGAAGAAGAGACAAGGGUGGAGCCUUAGAUUUGGGAGCGCACAGUCUCGAAGCCAAACUCCAUAACAUUGCAACACUCAGAGGUGAACUCAUGGCGACGGCCCUGGAAGCACUCCUCAUCAAAGACAAUGAUCUGACAGGGAAACAGGGACACUUCAGGCAGUCUGAUGCACACAUAUGGUAUCACAUAAACCCACCGAAACCACUUACAGAUCCUCCAUCUGAUGUAAGAGAUCAAAUCAGUAGCUUAGUUAUAUCACACAAAACUAUGUUACCUGAUUGUGGAAAUGCACCCAGGAAAUGGGAGAAGGGGUUUAAUUCUAACCAACACCUUUUUAAAGAGCUAAUGUUUCUACCUAUAAACAACACAGAUAUCGAGGGGAAAGAUAAAAAUCUUAUGUUGUUUUAAAAAUUCAAGUCUUUGUUAACAUGAUUUAGAUACGUCUUAAUUUGGUCUGGAUUUAUUCUGUUUACAGUUUCUGCCAGCUAGGACAGAAAUAGUGGUUCUGGCUAGACCAGAGAGGACCUGGUGAUAAAUUGUGUGUCUUUAAGGAUAGGACAUUUUUUCUGGAGACUGCUGGUCAUAUCUCAGGGAAUCCUCUACACUGAGCAGCCUCUCUGAACAGUAACAUAUGUCCUGGGAGGUGAUGUAUGAAUCUGCUCUGCCAUUCCCAGACUCACCUUCCAGUGGCCGGAGAACUUGGUGCAAUGGUGAGUCAUCUUGUCUGGAAGGAAAAGACAAAGCCAUUAACCAAAAAAAAAAAAAAAAAGAGUUGGGGCAAACAUCUGUAGAUAACAAUCGAAUGAGGGCAUGUAAUACUUUGUACACAUACUCUGUUUGUGACUAAGUCUCUAGUGCACACACACACACACACAACUGUGCAGAGAGGUUAGCUAAACAUGCAUUCAUUUCUGACUGGAAAAAGUUUAGCAUCAGAUUUUGCCAGCAUCAACAGCAGCAGCCAUCCAACAAAUUCGUCAGUAGCUAGUUACAACACAUGCAGUGUAGCCAUGCAAAACUGAAGCAACACUACUUGAAAUUUCACAGCAUGAGAUCCAUUAUUAUGAUAUUUUCCUCAAAGCCAAACUCCAGUAUACAGAACACUCUAUAUAAUGAAAGGCCUGAAUUGCGACAUAACACAUGAAAUGGCCUUUGCAACCACAGUGUUUCUCACAUGGCUGAAAAGCACUAGCUGGAUAAUAGCUGAACGCUGAAUAGCAGAAUCAGCCUGAAUGCAUAAUUGCUGAACUGAAACCAUCAACAUCUAUUUAUAGCUCCCAAACAAAAUUGAAGACAGUCAAAGAAGCCAGGGGCUUCAUCUCUGCUACUUUGGCCCUUUCUCCCUCCCCUUCAAUCUCUUUAUCUUAUUUUCUGCCCAUUACUUCCUUGCUGCAACAGAGAUUUUCUCCAUCACCUCUAUUUAUCUCAUCCACUGGUGGCAGUGAUGGCCACUGGGCCCUGGAGCCUGUGGAUGGAUGGCUGCUGUGUUGUGGGGAUUGGGACAGAGUGUGUGGGUAUGGGGCUGCUACCCUGGCUAUGCUGCCCUGGCUGGCUGGGUGAGGGACAGGGACUCACCUUGCUUUGAUGCCCUUGGGUUGUCCUGCCGUGAGAGUGAGAGGAGCCACGCGCCCCCACCCUUUUAAAGCCUCCCCUGGCAAGGGGCCAUACUGAAAGCCCCGGCUCAGCAGCAGGGAGGGGCUUUUCUUUGUCCCCCCCGACAAAAGCAUGGUUAAUCUAUGGAGGGGCAGAAGUGCAGACACCACAUUAUCACCCACGGCAGUGGACAUGGACGCAUAGGAACAUUGGAGAGGCAGGACACAGCAUGGGCUGCUGAGAAAAUACUAAGGACCAAGGAGAUAAAGGGGGUGGGGUGCAAGAAGAGAGAGGAGAUGCUCCUGAAAGCUAUGCUCAUUGUUUAUUUAUCCCCUGAUAUUUGUAUUUGCUUCAACACUAUUUCUCUUUUAGUAUUUCAUGUCUCCUGUUGGCUUUAAAUACUUAAGAUAUAGAAAUAUCUACACAUUUUUUUAUGUGCUUAGUGCAGAGCAGCUCACAGGCUGAAGUAAAAAUAAAAUCUAUAAAAAUAACUGUAAAAAUAACAAUAGCAAUCAGAAUUUAGCUGAUUUAGCUUUGAUAUAACAGUCCUUUGUUUGGUAUAUACAUUGAUAUUCUUUAUGAUUAGAAAAAUGUGGUAUGAUUCACGCUGCAUCACACUGAAUAAAUCUGCCAUAGCUCCUCUCAUAUUAAAGUGGAUAAAUUAAAAUAGGUGGGCAGAUAGAUUCUGACAGUUUUAGCAUGAAAAUCUAUAUGUUGUUAUAUGUUUACAUUAUUGUUUGUUUAUUAUAUAUUUUCUAUGUUAGUAUAUAUAAUUGUAAUGUUUAUGUUAUUAUAUAUUUACCACUACUACAUAAUAUAAUGGGCAUAUGCCAUACAGAUCAUGAAAUCUCAUACAUGUUUACAAUGUUCAAAACUUUAUGUAUGGGUACUGGCAUAUAUAACAAUGUUAUCUUCUGCUGUUAGGGUGAUUAUUAACAUGGAUCAUUUGUUAAAAAUGCAUAAUGCAGGGGUGCAUACAGGGUAAUACAAAGUUUUGAAUCAGCCACUGUUUCUCCUCUCAACAUGGAAUUAGUAGAAAUCAGGAAUCAGUAAAAACAAUGCAUGCAACUGAACCCUCCCUUUGAUACAGGUGCUGCACCCGUAAUGACGUAGUUAUAUCCCAUCAAUGGUUUUCCAAGCUUUUGGUCGAUUAGGGUUCACCUCAACACAUUUAAAUGUGACUAUUUUACUGUACCUGCUAUAGACUGACAGAUUAAAGAACAGGUUUAUUCCAGAGCCAUAACUACACUAAACACAGCAAAAAUUUGAACAUCUUGUAAAUAUUCACUGUGCAGUACUGAUAUUAAUCGUGCAAUACCUGCAGAAUGUGAAUGUUUUGUGGGUGGAAUGCAUU